rnacentral:lncRNA from 1 species
AUGGCAGAUUAUCUGAGCUCUGUAACUGACCCGAGACUGAGGAAAACCUGGACUAUGUACAGACUCAGCGACCACAGCCGGGCCUUAGAGAGCGGCAGACACAGACAGACCCGGCAGUCCAGAGAGGACCGGCUGUGUCGGUUCUGUCCACACAGACAGACCCGGCUGUCCAGAGAGGACCGGCUGUGUCGGUUCUGUCCACACGGACAGACCCGGCUGUCCAGAGAGGACCGGCUGUGUCGGUUCUGUCCACACAGGCAGACCCGGCUGUCCAGAGAGGACCGGCUGUGUCGGUUCUGUCCACACGGACAGACCCGGCAGUCCAGAGAGGACCGGCUGUGUCGGUUCUGUCCACACGGACAGACCCGGCAGUCCAGAGAGGACCGGCUGUGUCGGUUCUGUCCACACGGACAGACCCGGCUGUCCAGAGAGGACCGGCUGUGUCGGUUCUGUCCACACGGACAGACCCGGCUGUCCAGAGAGGACCGGCUGUGUCGGUUCUGUCCACACAGACAGACCCGGCUGUCCAGAGAGGACCGGCUGUGUCGGUUCUGUCCACACGGACAGACCCGGCAGUCCAGAGAGGACCGGCUGUGUCGGUUCUGUCCACACGGACAGACCCGGCUGUCCAGAGAGGACCGGCUGUGUCGGUUCUGUCCACACGGACAGACCCGGCAGUCCAGAGAGGACCGGCUGUGUCGGUUCUGUCCACACGGACAGACCCGGCUGUCCAGAGAGGACCGGCUGUGUCGGUUCUGUCCACACGGACAGACCCGGCUGUCCAGAGAGGACCGGCUGUGUCGGUUCUGUCCACACAGACAGACCCGGCAGUCCAGAGAGGACCGGCUGUGUCGGUUCUGUCCACACAGACAGGUGGAGACAGAGCAGCACUUCCUGUUGCACUGUGACACAUUCACAGACAUCAGAACCCAGAUAUACAUUAAAAUCACAGGUACAACCCCAGACUUCCCCAAACUAUCAGACCAAGAAAAACUACAACAUUUACUGGGAGAAAAAACUGGCACUGCUGUAGAUGCAGCGAGAUCUGUGAAUGCUGCCACAGGAGAAGAGACGAGCUGCACAACAACACCUGACAUGAUUUCCUCCACAUGA